rnacentral:rRNA from 1 species
UACGGAGGGUGCAAGCGUUGCUCGGAAUUAUUGGGCGUAAAGCGCACGCAGGUGGCAAGGUAAGUCAGAUGUGAAAUCCCCGGGCUUAACCUGGGAACAGCAUUUGAUACUGCCAUGCUAGAGUACGGAAGAGGGGAGCGGAAUUCCCAGUGUAGAGGUGAAAUUCGUAGAUAUUGGGAGGAACACCGGUGGCGAAAGCGGCUCCCUGGUCCGAUACUGACGCUCAUGUGCGAAAGCGUGGGGAGCAAACAGG